CUACUUUGUCCUCCACUACUUUGUCCUCACUACUUUGUCCUUCGUAGUGGAGGACAAAGUAGUGAGGACAAAGUAGUGGAGGACAAAGUAGU
rnacentral:pre_miRNA from 1 species